rnacentral:lncRNA from 1 species
AGUUUCUUGGUGGUUCAAGACUCUUCAUCUCAAGACCAACUUCUGUGUGUGUCUGUAGGGGACAGAGGGGAGCCGGUCAAAGAUUCUCCAUCUUAACCACUGGAACAGGUACUGAAAAGCCUUUUCAUCCUUGAUAGCCCCUCAGAUUUGCUAUACCCAAGUUUUCAAUCACAAGUCAGAACUGAACACAUGUAUUUGUCAUGAUCAACAUGUUCUCAUGAUGUUGUCAACACCUCCAAUAUCAAAUUAUCUGAGCUAUGGUGUCCACAUUUUAUAGCUGCAUACUAUAACUCUAUUUCAGCAACUGUCUGAAUAUUUAUUUAUUUAUUUUUUAGAUUUGUAUGAGACACGUAUAAGUUUCCUGAGCUAUGAAAGAACAACCUCAGAGCAAUUGCGUGAAAGGAAAUGAACAAGCUUUUAGGCAUAGUCAGGCAUAAUACAUUUCUAAAGCAUGCAAGUUUUCUACAUUUCCUGUUACCAACUGACAUGGGAAGUACAGCAUGGAAAACCAUGUACAAAUGGUUUGUGCAGUGUAAAUGAGAUGUUUAUGCAAAGUAAACUCUUCUGCACAGUAGCUUGUUCCCUUUUUGGCAUGCUGAUACAAUUUGCAUCAUGAACCCUACAGUCUUCUAUUUCCUCAUUACAUACGUGCACUUUUGAAGUUCAUGACUAGUCUGUCCAGUUUCUCUGUUACUCAUAGCCCUAGUCUGACUUAGCUUGCUUGUCUUUUUUUCCCCUUUUAUAGCUCUUCGCCUGACAGCAUCACAUCUGGCUUUCCCUGAUCUCUGUCAACUGCUGCACUUCUACACACUGAGCAGGGAUGUUUUGCCUGUCUGUUUAUUGGUUCCCUCAUGGGUUUACACCCUUAACACUCUACCAGAUCAUCUUGUUCCUCUGCUUGGUCCAAAGACCUGGCUGUGUCCCUCUUCGGAUCCGGUGGUUAGCAGUAUGACUCCAGAAACACAAGGCAUAACAGAAACGCCGAAAACAGUCAUGUGCACUAUACAGGUUACAGCUGCCAGUGGUGCCAUGUGCUUCAUCAAUCCCUUGUACCUUCAAGAGCAUGGCGAUGAUUGGCUUUCUCAUUCUUCAACCAGCCAAAUAAAUCUUCCAAUCAGGUUGAGGCGAGAAAGUCCCACGAGAGCAUGGGUAGGGAGAGAACUGAAAAAGAGGUCCUCUACACUAGCCGACGACAACUCUAGCGGUUUUGACCAUGACAGAGGAUCGUUUGAGAAGAAUCCAGACGAUCCAGCUACCCCAGGUGGAGUUGUGCUUCGAAGAGCGAGUGGCGCCAGCAAGGAUGACCCCUUAAAAAGAUCAAGUGAUGACUUCAUUCAAAGUCCUCUUUCUCAGUCACCACAUCGUGUGUCAUGGAUAGAGGACAAGAUAUGGCUGAACUCAUCACUUACUUCCUCUCUGCUUCAACCACCCGGCUUAGAGCUGGAUUCCCUGUCAGUCAGCAGUAUAGAGGAGGAGACUGAACCAGCUUUAAACCCCUCCCCAGCAGUACCUUCGCCCCGCCUCCACUUGGCAGAUAAGAUGAAGAACCGUCUCUCUGCAGUGGGUCAGGCUCUAGGUGGACUUAUGUCGCCACAGCGAAGACUGAGUAAACGUGUUCAGGAGAUGGCGGAACGGAAGGGAGGGGCUUUGGCAGAGGCUGUCAGGGGAUUUGUAGAGUCAAACUCUUGCAGGUGA